AGUAGUUUGAUCAUGGCUCAGGAUGAACGCUAGCUACAGGACUUAACACAUGCAAGUCGGAGGGGCAGCAUAGGCGGAAGUCUUGUCUUCUGCUGAGUGGCCGACCGGCGCGACGGGUGAGUAACGCGUACUACCACCUUUACCCUACGAGGUAGGGAUACGCCGGCGAAAGUCGGAUUUAAUACCCUAUGUUCUUCUUCGAUGACAUCUGACGAGAAGCAAAGGUUCACCGCUAUAGGAUGGGGAUGCGUCUGAUUAGCUUGUUGGCGGGGUAACGGCCCACCAAGGCUACGAUCAGUAGGGGUUCUGAGAGGAAGGUCCCCCACAUUGGUACUGAGACACGGACCAAACUCCUACGGGAGGCAGCAGUGAGGAAUAUUGGUCAAUGGGCGAGAGCCUGAACCAGCCAAGUAAGCGUGCAGGAUGACGGCCCUAUGGGUUGUAAACUGCUUUUAUACGGGGAUAAAGUGAGGGACGUGUCCCUUAUUGUAGGUACCGUAUGAAUAAGGACCGGCUAAUUCCGUGCCAGCCGCGGC
rnacentral:rRNA from 1 species